rnacentral:rRNA from 1 species
CACGUAGGGCGCAAGCGUUGUCCGGAAUUAUUUGGGCGUAAAGAGCUCGUAGGUGGUUUGUUACGUCUGCUGUGAAAACCUAGGGCUUAACCCUGGGCUUGCAGUGGAUACGGGCAGACUAGAGGUAGGUAGGGGAGAAUGGAAUUCCUGGUGUAGCGGUGAAAUGCGUAGAUAUCUGGAGGAACACCGGUGGCGAAGGCGGCAUCCUGGACCAACACUGACGCUGAGUGAGCGAAAGCCAGGGGAGCAAACGGG